UUCGUAUCAUAUAUUUUAGAAAAGGACGGUUUCAUUGGCCAAGAUCUCCUUUCUCAAGAUGCAGACGAACUAAGGCAGUACUUCCCAAUCAUAAAAAGUUCAAGAAAUUGAUUGAAAUGAGCAGUGAACCUAGAGAUGACACGAGUUCUUCGUCGGUGCGAUCUGAGAGGUUGAUUCAUGCGUGGUUCGCCUUUUCUCCUGAGCCUUAUUAGGUCUCAGCGGUUUCACAACUAAGGUCAUGUGUUCUCAUUUUGGCUCCGAGAGAUAGAGACGGUUACAGUUGGAAAUGGAUACUGCAUUUGCACACGAUGAACUUAACUUAUUUCAAGAUUCUCUGAUUUUAGGAUCUCUCACUCUGAAUUCUUAACCUUCUUCUUGAAAAAAAUGAAAUGAUAUUUUUAUGUCUGUGUCUUGGUUUGUAUCCACUGGAGCUGAAUGUUUGGCUCUUUCUCUUUCAGUGUGCAUAAUCAGACGUAUCAAACGUCGAUUGAUGACUCAGAGAACAUCAACGAUUAUAAAAGUUUAGAAGUGAAAUCGACAUUGAAAGAAAAGAGAACAUCGCCUAAGCAUCUCUGUUUCACGGACGAGGCGACGGAACUGAGCAUUGCGAAAAGGAAGUUCCUCUAGCUGGAUGGUAAGAAGUACGUUAUCGAUUCCUUUUUUUUCUAUUUUAUCCCAAAGGAAAACACACAAGGUGCCAGUUGGUAAACGAAGGAGGAGAAAUGUCGAGGAAAGCACUCACAAAGAAUGGGUUCUCUGCCUCACUAGAGUUGGAUAUCCAGGAGGGAUAUAUCACUGCAAACCAAAAUAGUGAACUGGUAUGGGAUGUUUGUACCAGCAUCAAUUUCCAUACUAAAAACCCAAAGCACUCUGAGCGGCAGUGGAUUGCAAAAAAAUUAUUGUAGAGUAUUGUUGUGUUGCUGGCAUGAUACUAGUUGACUUGGAAACUGAAUGGAAUGGUGAAGUUUAAAAAUCCAUUGCUUUACUUCUUCUGUUUGUAGUGGAAAUAGAUAAUUUUUUGGUACUGAAUUUCUUGCCUUAAACUUAACAGGUGCUGAAUAAUCACUCUGAUCAUUUAAUUUUCUGACCUUUGUUCUUGUGUGUUUGUCAUCACACAUGCAUUGAAUGAAGUUGUAAUCAUUUUGGAGGUAGAAGUCUAAAAAACUACUACUUUAGUACAAGAAUACUUCAGAACAGUUAAAAUUACUGAGCUCAUUUGCUCAUGAAGUCUAUAUACAAAGGUUCAAGUACCUUGGGGUUGUAUUUGAUUUUGCCUUCUUUUUUCAGUUCUUUUGAUUUAGCAAUUUUUUUCAAUUUCCUGUCGUCAAACCAUUAAAUAAAUAUUGCACAUGGAAUAGUUGAUUCUUUUUUUUUUGAUGAUUGAACACCCCACAUGGACAUGUGUGAUAUGCAUAGAUGUUUUGGGAGUUGUGUAGUAUUUUUUCAAGCCAUGAAGAGGAGACAAAAAACAAGCAUUGAGCCAAAUUUCCACUUCCAUUUCGAGUUUUCUAGCUUACAGUUGUAGAAAAACAUCUCAUAUAUAUAUACAUACACACCCACAGAUAUACAUAUAUAUUAUCUGAUUACUGAAAAUAAAACAAAGAGAAUGUGAUCGACUAAAAAUGACGGACUAGCUGGAAAUUUUGACUGGCUAUGGGCUCUUCACACUUUGGCCUGUUUUUAAUAUGGUUAUAAAAUUUGUUUUUAUCACAGAGAGUAGUGGAUGCUGAUUCAGCAAUCAGAGAUUAUGUCCAGCCACAAAUUGUAACUGUUGGAGAUCUUCAUGACAUUGAUCUCCUGUACAUUAUAACAGUUAGAGGGAAGUGUAAUUUGUCAGCUCCCACAAGAAAAAAAUUUGAAUACUCCUAUUGGGUUACCUGGCUCAUUUAUAUUUUCAAUGUUUUUUAUAAUUAGUCAAAAGCAAUUUUGACUUUUUUAGAGGAAGCAUUUCUUGAAAUUGGGUACAGGCAGACUCUUGCCACUGUUUUCUCCUUUUUUAAUGACUUGGCAAAUGCCUGAGGUACUCCUUGCUGAAAUGUUAUGUUUUGAUAAUAUCUAAAGUAGCAAUAUGAGUGCAUCUAUUCUCCAUCCACUGGAAGAAUACUCAGUGCUGCUUUAAGACUCUUCAUUUUUCAAAUGCACAAAUCAAACAAGAUCUAUAUUCUUGUGCAGGAGCAGGACCAUUUGUUGCCUUUGUGUUAUUAUGAUAAUUUUAUGUUCUUUGAAAAAUUAAACCUCUCUUGGUUAUACACUGCCUCACAUUAUCACAUUUGCUAAGUCAAUGAAAAGGGAAGCUUUACCCACUGGUGUCUAUUGGGUGUAAUUUUUAGCAAUGCUUGCUCUUUUGAGAAGUAUAAUGAUUUAGUGAAGAGAUCUAUAUAAGAAAAUGGUUGAAUUUAUGUGAAAUAUGUAUAUAUGUUGUUCUAUUCUUUCACAUGAUCUUUCAAAGCUUGUCUGUUGUAUACCACAAUUGAGAUUCCCAAUAACUGUAAAAUCAUGCACUGUAAAAGGUUUUUACAUAAACAUUAUCUAGAACCUAGUAAAUGAGAGUUUGAAAGAUAAA